AUGAGCCAAUGUUAUCAUCCCCGCAGUGGAAGCUCCUUUCCUGGAUGCUCCUCGUCCAAGAAGAAGAGCAGAAACCAAUCCCCGAAAGGUGGAAAGACUAUCCCCCAGUUGGCCAGCAGAUGCCUGGAACUCGUUUCAUUGCUUUUAAAGUUCGUUUGCAGCAGAGUUUUGAAAAGAAACUUGCUCCAGAAGAAUGCUUUUCCCCUUUGGAUCUUUUUGACAAAAUCUGAGAAUAAAAUGAAGAACUUGGACUGAUUAUUGAUUUAACAUGUACUCAAUGUCAUAAACCAGAGGUAAGUGGAACUCUCAAUAGAAAAGUUCUUUAUUCUGAUACAAAAAUAAUUUAUAGUAAUUCAGUAAUAAUUCAGUAAUAAUCUUGUACUAAUGUGAAGCCUGGCCUUCUUUGAUGGGUAGUAAGGUUAAAAGAGAACCAAGUGAUUUCCUUAAUUACGUGUUUUUAAUUACUG
rnacentral:lncRNA from 1 species